CAGCAAGAACAAACUAAUUAUAAACAAGAUUUGCAAUGCACAUAGACAGCUCUGACAGGGGCCUGGCUUUGCUUUCCAACAGCAGGAAGUUCUUCCAUAGGACAUUAUCUAUAAUAUACUAAAAGGAUCAAUUCCAAACCAUGCAUUCUAAAAUAAUACUCCACACUCAUGCACUUUAAGUUAGAUAUCUAUUUAAAAGAGGAAAUUGCAGCUAUUAUAAAUACAGCAAAUAGCAUGCUUGGGAAAAUGAAACUCAGAAAGGAUGUGAUCAAAGAUUAGCUCGACACAUUAAAACAAGCCUCAGUCUUACCCCUCGAUCUUGUGCAUAAGCAGGUAGUAAAAUGCGGUUAUUGAACCAUACCAGGGUAUGAAAAUAAGAUUGUCACAUCUCGGUUAGUCACCUCUCCUUUUGCUACAGAAGCUGCCUGAAUUGGUUGCCAGAGAUACACACACAAACAGAGCAGAUUUCUGUCUUCCUCUGAGCAACAAGACAGCUCAGUUGGCUGCUACUGCAGCAUCCAGAAAGUCGUAAUGGCAAGGGCAUUACUGAGGCCUGUUUGUGACAUGGGGUGCAGAGAAGCAGAGGGAAAGUUGCAGAAGGGAACUGACAGCUGAGCAGACCCUGCAAUGCUGUACUUCAGUGCUCUCAAAAGGUGCUGCCCCUUUCUCAGUGCAGUCUCUGCUCCCAUUUCUCAGAUGACCUUUGGCUGACUUAUUCUUGAAGCAGCAAUGCCUUCUCAGGCAUCAUCAUGCAGAUUUAAAGCACUUUCCCCCAUGUGAAGGAAAAUCAUCAGCGUAAGUAUCUGCCAGCUGAGAUGGUGUCUCCCCUUGGAUGUAUUUCAGACUGAGCUGCCACAGCUGUGCAGCACAGCACACACUGGCCUGCUGCUGAGAAGCCACAGCCAGGUAUGGCAACAUCAGCAGGCUCUUGGCAUAUGUGAGGGCCAAACACCAGACCAAGGUGUCUUACAGUGUAAGUGGCCAACGUGCCAGACAGUGUUACACUUACAUUGUAAGUGGUCAGUGGGUGAGCCUGCAAAAAGUUACACUGACUUCUUAUCCAGGAGGGAAGCAUCAGUGACCUCCAGGAGAGCACAUUUUGUAGGAAAAAGAGAAGAGUUAAGUCAGGGAAUCCGGCUAGCCCAGUCUGUGCCCUGUUCCAUCUUUCAGUCUGGGCUUUCUGAGAGAAACAGGCUGCUAGGCUCAGUUCUUUUAUGCUCAGUAUGCCUCAGACAAGUUUAACCUUGAUUGUAUCCCACCUUGCCUUCUGGCUUUGCAAUCACUCUGAGCAGAAAUACCCUGUGAAAAUGUUGUCUUUUACAAAUUCUUCUGUCUUGACAAUCUCAUUUCAGACAAGAGUAUCGUCCAUGGACUGGAGCAAAACCAUCCAAGCCUAUAAGGUCAAAACAAGGCUUCAUUAUCCCAGAAGACCAUUUUGUUCAAGAGACAAGCUACAAGGCAGACUUUAAGAUCCCAGAAGUGAAGACCAGAUUCUCCCCCAACCCUUCUGCUGUUUUCCAGGCGCCAUCACGGAUCCUCAACGUGUGAACCUGGACCCUCCUCACACCCAGACAGCUUAAAUGCAGAGUUUCUGUUAAGAUGUAUCACUAUGCAACUUUCAUGAGGAGUGUUAAGAUCAAAGAACCGGUGUUAUCAAAAGCAGCUCCAGUGAUUAAUGAUAUGCACACACACUUUCUGUUAACACAACAAACCGCAAAGCGCUUGGUUCAGAACUGGCAAACACGCUGCGAGGAGUGACCUAGUUUUUCACAGGAGCAGGUUCAUUACUAUGCCAGCUGGCGUCACAUUAGGAGAUUGACUUUGGGCAGCAAAGGCAGGAUUGCAGGCAACAUCCCUACUCAGAAAUACACAGGGUAGGAGGGAAAACAAUUGCAAGCGGGAUGGAUAAUUAAAACCCAAACCAGUUUUAUUUAGCAACACCCUCUAAGUAGGCUGCUGAAAGACAGGGAGUAAUUUGGCUGACUUCUGACAUUCUUGAGGGGUUUUGGGAGUAGGACCUCAAAUGGCAUCACCAGAAAGUAGAGCUUUGAAGGGGCUGUUUGAACUUCCAGAGUUGUCUUAGAAGCUGGAGGAAGCCAAUGUCAUUGAACUCUAAAAUAAAUCUGGCACAUGCAGUGUCUUGGGCCUUUAAGGCUGGGAAGCUGGAUAUUACCAAAAUUGGAGAGCUGAUGCAGGAGCAAGAGAGGACCACUCCAGGAGACAGCCUUGACAUCAGCAGUGCACCAAACUGGUUUGGAGAAGAGUGCAUGGAUACAGCCAGGCACCCACCAGACUCCUCCAGAGGAUCUAGGAUACUUACAUAAUUUGUACAGCUGUUAGGGUGACUGUAAAUAUUGUACAUGGAUUUUACCUAAAGCAAUUUGUGAUCCUUUAAUGAAAAGGAUAUGCUUAUACUUUUAAUAAAUGUUAACUCUUUGCAUAUGCAAGGUGGAAAAUAUUGCCUUGAAAUUCCUAAAUUAUCGCCUGUAUAUUGGUAAUGCUAAUGCUAGGAACAACCACAAGCGAAUGUUACUUAGAAAUUCUUCUUAAAGAAAAAUGUAAUGUAGAAUGUAAGCCAUCUGUCAUUUUUUAAGAUAGGCCGUUUCAAAUGUCAUUGUUCUGAAGCUGAUUUUUUAGACUGCUGCAUAUUUAACUUUUGCUGAGGUACAUGUGUUUUAAGAAACCAUUUUUUUAGCCUUUGUUCAUUGAGACUUUACAAUUUCUAUUUCGAUAACUUAUGCAAUAUAAUUAGUCUACUGCUUAUUUAAUGGAUUUACUAAUUAUUUUGGGAAAAAAAAAAUUGAAAAACUAUUACUUUGUGUUUGCAACACAUGUGUGUUGUCCAGAACAAAGGGAAACUAUCCUCAGACUUUAACAGUGAUCAAAUAUUCAUUCAUCUGUAAUGAAACAGACUUUCAACACAGGAGGACUUUUUCUUGAACUUCUUACUAGCUGAAGUCUAAAACAAAUUUAAUGAACUUCAGGGAUUCUGCAGAAAACAAAUGCAUUGCUGAUAAUUCCCAUAAGAACAAUUUUUGAGCUGUUGGCAUGUGAAUUGUACUUGCAAUACAUGCAGACAGCAUCUUCUCACUGCAUUAUGUGAGAAUUUAAUGGUGUUCACUGUAGUGGGACUGAGCACAACCACCAGAACAGGGAACACCUUCAGUAACCUGCAUUUGGCUGGGACAAGGGAUGGCUCUUCCCACACUCAUCCUUGGAGAAACCUGCAGUAAUCCCAGUGCUUGCCAAAAUAAUUUUUCAGGAAAUUCAUUUUUCAAGAAAUUCAUUGAAGCAUUCAAACUGUGCUAAAAGUUUUGCAUGUUAGAUGUUUCUAAGAAUUCAAUCUGCUUGUUUAAUCUCUUUAUAAUGUUUUUAGCAGUUUUGUUCAAACAAUUUAAGUUCAUUUCAAUCCUGGACUUUAUUAACAGCAAGGGGAAAAAAAGUAAAAAGGAAAUUGUCUAUUAUCUCUUCUUAAUUGACUGUAUUUCUUAAAAAUAUGACCCAGGUUUAAACAAAUUGGUAAUAUAAUAAGCUUGUAUUUUAUCAAAUGGACUGGAUUUAAUUUAAUAAAUUAAAAUGUAUUUUGGC